rnacentral:rRNA from 1 species
UGGGGAAUAUUGGACAAUGGGCGAAAGCCUGAUCCAGCCAUGCCGCGUGUGUGAAGAAGGUCUUCGGAUUGUAAAGCACUUUAAGUUGGGAGGAAGGGCAUUAACCUAAUACGUUAGUGUUUUGACGUUACCGACAGAAUAAGCACCGGCUAACUCUGUGCCAGCAGCCGCGGUAAUACAGAGGGCGCAAGCGUUAAUCGGAAUUACUGGGCGUAAAGCGCGCGUAGGUGGUUUGUUAAGUUGGAUGUGAAAGCCCCGGGCUCAACCUGGGAACUGCAUCCAAAACUGGCAAGCUAGAGUACGGUAGAGGGUGGUGGAAUUUCCUGCGUAGCGGUGAAAUGCGUAGAUAUAGGAAGGAACACCAGUGGCGAAGGCGACCACCUGGACUGAUACUGACACUGAGGUGCGAAAGCGUGGGGAGCAAACA